rnacentral:rRNA from 1 species
GAUCAUGGCUCAGGAUGAACGCUGGCGGCAUGCCUAAGACAUGCAAGUCGAACGAGAUGGCCCAGUGAAGGUUGAGUGCUUGCACAAGACUGAAUCUGGAUUACCAUCUAGUGGCAGACGGGUGAGUAACACGUGGGUGACCUACCUUUUCGUUGGGGAUAACAGUUGGAAACGAUUGCUAAUACCGAAUAAUAUGUAAGAGUCAAUUUUACAUUGAAAGGAGCCUUUAAAGCUCCG